GCAACGAAAGGAAGAAAAACCAUUCAGUCUUAGAAGGAGAAAACCCAACAAGAUGAAGGUUGAGUGCCCUCUCCAACUAAUGAACCCUGAAUUGGCCUCCUCAUCUUCCUCUUCUCCUCCAACGCCACCAUCUCCUCUCCCUGUAAGUGUCGGACCAGGCAAUCGCAAGUAUCCAUUCUCUCCUUCGUCGACGCCAUCGCCGCCAUUCUCACCACCCGAUCGCUCAUCACCGGAGACCUCACCUCUCUUGCACGAGCAAUCAGCAGAGCAGCACCAAGAACCUUCCGCUUUCUCUUUGGACAAACUCCUUGAAGAAUCUGGUCCUUCAAGAAGCUGGUGCCAUUUUAGAAAUUUUUUGGAAUGGCUGAUGCUGAGAUGUUGCUGCUGCUGCUGCUCCUCAUUGUGAUAGGCAGUAAAUUCUUCAACUCCAAUUCUAGAAAGAUUUGGUGUCAAGCUGACCUGCAACUGUUGGGAGAUUAAUAAAAGGGAAGGUUCAUGUU